rnacentral:misc_RNA from 1 species
AGCAGCCGCGGUAAUUCCAGCUCCAAUAGCGUAUAUUAAAGUUGUUGCAGUUAAAAGCUCGUAGUUGAAUUUCGGGAUCAAUUAAUCGGUCGUGCCUCUGGUACGCACUGGUUUUAUUGGUUUCUCCCUUCUGACGAACCAGGAUGUCAUUAAUUUGGUGUCUUGGAGAAUCAGGACUGUUACUUUGAAAAAUUAGAGUGUUUAAAGCAGGCUAACGCUUGAAUACAUUAGCAUGGAAUAAUGAAAUAGGACGUUUGAUCCUAUU